UUUUACUUACUUAUUUUUUUUUCUUUUGAUUAAUUUAAUUACUUAAAAUAUUAAUUAGUUGAUUGACUAAAUUUUUAGACUUUAUUAUUUAUUUUCUAAGUAGACUAUUCAAUUAUUCGAUCUCGUUAUGUUAAUUCGGGUAAUUAUGUAACUCAUGUCCAUAGCAUCACGCAUGUAAAUAAUCAUACUAACCUGUCACAUCAAUUUCAAUUUCACUAACAUUUCACCUUAACUUCAAUCAAUUUCAAUUUCAUACCAUUUUUCAAAUCCUUUCAAAACAAUUUUCAUUUCAUUAAUGUAAUUCAUUUCACAAAUCAAUUUUCACCAACGCAAGUGCUUGAUCCAACACUUGAUCAACUUCAUCUAACC
rnacentral:lncRNA from 1 species